rnacentral:rRNA from 1 species
UACGUAGGGGGCAAGCGUUGUCCGGAUUUAUUGGGCGUAAAGCGCGUGUAGGCGGUCAGGUAAGUCCGUUGUGAAAACUCGAGGCUCAACCUCGAGACGCCGAUGGAAACCAUCUGACUAGAGUCCGGAAGAGGAGAGUGGAAUUCCUGGUGUAGCGGUGAAAUGCGCAGAUAUCGGGAAGAACACCCGUGGCGAAGGCGGCUCUCUGGGACGGUACUGGCGCUGAGACGCGAAAGCGUGGGGAGCGAACAGG